UGGGGAAUAUUGCACAAUGGGGGAAACCCUGAUGCAGCAACGCCGCGUGAAGGAUGAAGGUCUUCGGAUCGUAAACUUCUUUGAUUGGGGAAGAAGAAGUGACGGUACCCAAAAAACAAGCCACGGCUAACUACGUGCCAGCAGCCGCGGUAAUACGUAGGUGGCGAGCGUUGUCCGGAAUUACUGGGUGUAAAGGGCGUGUAGGCGGGGGUGCAAGUCAGAUGUGAAAUUCCGUGGCUCAACUGCGGGACUGCAUCUGAAACUGUAUCUCUUGAGUACUGGAGAGGGAAGUGGAAUUCCUAGUGUAGCGGUGAAAUGCGUAGAGAUUAGGAGGAACACCAGUGGCGAAGGCGGCUUCCUGGACAGUAACUGACGCUGAGGCGCGAAAGCGUGGGGAGCGAACA
rnacentral:rRNA from 1 species